CCUAGGUCAGUUAUGAUCGACAGAGACUUAAAAGAGCUCAAUGCCAUAAGAGAAGUUUUCCCCAAAACCAAAGUUCUCCUCUGUUGGUUUCAUGUUCUCCAGGCUGUACAUCGCUGGGUUACAUCAAGAGAUGGUGGGAACCUGUCACCUGACAAAAGACAUGUCGUCAUUCAUGCCAUGACCUUAAUGAAAGCUUGCAUAACGGAGGAAGAUUUUGUGACAGUUUCCACUAGCGUGUGCAAUGACCUUGGCAGCAAUCGAGUGACAACAUACCUGAAGGUGCUCUGGCUUCCACUGGCUUCCCGCAUUAUGGGCCAAUUUUGGACGACUAUUUGAGCACAACAACAGCGACACCAACAACAAG